UACGAACUGCGCGAACGUUAUUCGGAAUCACUGGGCUUACAGGGUGCGUAGGCGGCCGACCAGGUCCGAUGUGAAAUCCCCCAGCUCAACUGGGGAAUGGCAUUGGAAACCGAUUGGCUAGAGUGGGCUAGAGGUGCAUGGAACUUCCGGUGGAGCGGUGAAAUGUGUUGAGAUCGGAAGGAACACCAGAGGCGAAAGCGAUGCACUGGGGCUUGUCUGACGCUGAGGCACGAAAGCCAGGGGAGCGAACGGG
rnacentral:rRNA from 1 species